rnacentral:rRNA from 1 species
AUACAGAGGGUGCGAGCGUUGUUCGGAAUUACUGGGCGUAAAGCGCGCGUAGGCGGACCAGUCAGUCAGGGGUGAAAUCCCGGGGCUCAACCCCGGAACUGCCUUUGAUACUGCUGGUCUUGAGUUCGAGAGAGGUGAGUGGAAUUCCGAGUGUAGAGGUGAAAUUCGUAGAUAUUCGGAGGAACACCAGUGGCGAAGGCGGCUCACUGGCUCGAUACUGACGCUGAGGUGCGAAAGCGUGGGGAGCAAACAGGAUUAGAAACCCUAGUAGUCC